ACGUGUAAUGUACAUUCGUGUAUAUCUUAACACAAUGGAUGGUUUAUUCGUAGUGUUAAUAUGGAUGAUUUGUCUAAUUCCAGCUACUAUUUUUGCCCCGAUUGAAGUCACAUGUCCUGAUGGAAGACGACCGUUGGAGUGUCAUGCUCGAUACAAAAACCACUGUAACAGCAUGUUUUGUCAGAUCAAAGAAGCGGUGUGCGAGAUUGAUCUUUGUUACACGGAUUGCUGGCCACGAUUUUACCUGAAUGGUACAAGACUGAAGCAUUCUGACUGCGGAGGAUUCUCAUAAAAUCAUGUUUAAUUCUAAGUAUAAAACAAACACACGAUGAGCACGUAAAAUGAAUACAAGUGGACUGCAGCUUUCAAUUCUAAGUCUUUUACGUAAAAACAAAUAAUAUAUAUUUAUAAAGUAUUUCUAGUGUCGAUAAUGCAAGCGGUUAUGUUGUAACUUUAGAAUUUGGCAAUAUUGUUUUCUUUGAGAUAAAAUUGUGUUGAUGAUUAAACAAAAUAGACUUUGA